rnacentral:rRNA from 1 species
GAUGGUGGUUAUAGCGGUAAGGUCACACCUGUUCCCAUCCCGAACACAGUAGUUAAGCUUACCCACGCCGAUGGUACUGUUCCGGCGACGGAAUGGCAGAGUAGGUCGCCGCCAUCU